CUCUCCCUUCUUUCUCUUAUUCUUCUUCUCCCUCCCUCAAGACCGAAUCUUCAAGCCUCAUGUCUCCUUCAUCAGUUUUCCUUUCUCAAAUCAAGACCUCCAAGAAAGUAAGGAGUUCUCUCCAUUAGUCCUAGUAACCAAAGUCCAUGAGAUUUUGAAGUGGAUCAAACUCAAGGUUCCAAGGUACUUGAUGAUGGACCUAGUGAUGAGAUUGGUUGAUUUCAUGGUGCCCGGUUGAGGUAAAAUUGGUUGGCAUCCCGAGAUAAGUAGCUUUUAAUGGAAUUUUUGAAAAAUAACCAUAUUGCAUAAAUGUUGUUUUUGGGUUAGACACGCUUUUGGAAACUACCUAUGGAAACUAUAUUUUCCUAAAAAAAACUAUUGUGUCGUAACCUUAAUUAAUAUAUAUAUAUAUAUAUAUAUAUGAUUAUAUAUGUGAAAAAUGCAUCAUAUUUGGUAUUGCAUUUGAGGAAAUGCAUAGAUUGUUGACAUGGAAAAUAUGAGCAUCUUUGAAUUAAUCCUAUGAUAAGGAAUUCAUGGACUUUAUGGUAUAUUGGAACUUAAAAGUGCUUAUUUAUCUUGUCUUGUAUUAUUUGGGAAAUAUUGAUGCAAAACAUUAAUGUAACACCCCAAAUGUUUCUCUAAAUAUAUGUGUAUAUUUUUUAGUGAGGGCAUUUUUGUAAAAUUGUCAACAAGAUAUUUCUUAUGUGUGGUCCAUAAUCUCCCUAUCUAUCACCACACAUGAAACCCCCCCCCCCCUCUCCUCUCUUUUCAUUCUCACGGCUACUCUCUCCCUCCUUUCUCUUAUUCCCUCUUCUUCUCCCUCCCUCAAGACCGAUCUUCAAGCCCCAUGUCUCCUUCAUCAUUUUUCCUUUCUCAAAUCAAGACCUCCAAGAAAGUGAGGGGUUCUCUCCAUUAGUCCUCCUAGUAACCAAACUCCAUGAGAUUUUGAAAUGGAUCAAACCCAAGGUUCCAAGGUACUUGAUGAUGGACCUAGUGAUGAGAUUGGUUGAUUUCAUGGUGCGCGGUUGGGGUAAAAUUGGUUGGCAUCCCGAGAGUAGGCAACAAUCUUUCAAGACAGCUUUUUGGUGGCUAAGCUGAACUUUUGUAAUGGAGACAUUAGAUGAUGUACACCUUAGAAUAGACUUGACUCAUUCUUUUGUAUGUUAUAGUGGUUGUGACUUUAUUUCCCACCGAUGGGACGAGCUGUUGAUAUGUAAUUAUAUAUUCAGACCUCUAUUCUUUUGUGGCUAAUGGUCCUUGUAAUUAAUGCUUAGAGCUCUAACUUACUUUAAAAGUAUAUUCAAUGGAAUUGUUAUGAUAAUUCUUGA